rnacentral:rRNA from 1 species
ACACUCUAUACGGAGUUACAAAGGACGACAUUAGACGAAUCAUCUGGAAAGAUGAAUCAAAGAAGGUAAUAAUCCUGUAGUCGAAAAUGUUGUCUCUCUUGAGUGGAUCCUGAGUACGACGGAGCACGUGAAAUUCCGUCGGAAUCUGGGAGGACCAUCUCCUAAGGCUAAAUACUCUCUAGUGACCGAUAGUGAACCAGUACCGUGAGGGAAAGGUGAAAAGCACCCCGGAAGGGGAGUGAAAUAGAACCUGAAACCGUGUGCUUACAAGUAGUCAGAGCCCGUUAAUGGGUGAUGGCGUGCCUUUUGUAGAAUGAACCGGCGAGUUACGAUUUGAUGCAAGGUUAAGCAGUAAAUGUGGAGCCGUAGCGAAAGCGAGUCUGAAUAGGGCGUUUAGUAUUUGGUCGUAGACCCGAAACCAGGUGAUCUACCCUUGGUCAGGUUGAAGUUCAGGUAACACUGAAUGGAGGACCGAACCGACUUACGUUGAAAAGUGAGCGGAUGAACUGAGGGUAGCGGAGAAAUUCCAAUCGAACCUGGAGAUAGCUGGUUCUCUCCGAAAUAGCUUUAGGGCUAGCCUCAAGUGAUGAUUAUUGGAGGUAGAGCACUGUUUGGACGAGGGGCCCCUCUCGGGUUACCGAAUUCAGACAAACUCCGAAUGCCAAUUAAUUUAACUUGGGAGUCAGAACAUGGGUGAUAAGGUCCGUGUUCGAAAGGGAAACAGCCCAGACCACCAGCUAAGGUCCCAAAAUAUAUGUUAAGUGGAAAAGGAUGUGGCGUUGCCCAGACAACUAGGAUGUUGGCUUAGAAGCAGCCAUCAUUUAAAGAGUGCGUAAUAGCUCACUAGUCGAGUGACACUGCGCCGAAAAUGUACCGGGGCUAAACAUAUUACCGAAGCUGUGGAUUGUCCUUUGGACAAUGGUAGGAGAGCGUUCUAAGGGCGUUGAAGCAUGAUCGUAAGGACAUGUGGAGCGCUUAGAAGUGAGAAUGCCGGUGUGAGUAGCGAAAGACGGGUGAGAAUCCCGUCCACCGAUUGACUAAGGUUUCCAGAGGAAGGCUCGUCCGCUCUGGGUUAGUCGGGUCCUAAGCUGAGGCCGACAGGCGUAGGCGAUGGAUAACAGGUUGAUAUUCCUGUACCACCUAUAAUCGUUUUAAUCGAUGGGGGGACGCAGUAGGAUAGGCGAAGCGUGCGAUUGGAUUGCACGUCUAAGCAGUAAGGCUGAGUAUUAGGCAAAUCCGGUACUCGUUAAGGCUGAGC